UGGCUCAGGAUGAACGCUAGCUACAGGCUUAACACAUGCAAGUCGAGGGGAAACGAUAUUGGAAGCUUGCUUCCGAUAGGCGUCGACCGGCGCACGGGUGAGUAACGCGUAUCCAACCUGCCCACCACUUGGGGAUAACCUUGCGAAAGUAAGACUAAUACCCAAUGACGUCUCUAGAAGACAUCUGAAAGAGAUUAAAGAUUUAUCGGUGAUGGAUGGGGAUGCGUCUGAUUAGCUUGUUGGCGGGGUAACGGCCCACCAAGGCGACGAUCAGUAGGGGUUCUGAGAGGAAGGUCCCCCACAUUGGAACUGAGACACGGUCCAAACUCCUACGGGAGGCAGCAGUGAGGAAUAUUGGUCAAUGGACGAGAGUCUGAACCAGCCAAGUAGCGUGCAGGAAGACGGCCCUAUGGGUUGUAAACUUCUUUUAUAAAGGAAUAAAGUCGGGUAUGGAUACCCGUUUGCAUGUACUUUAUGAAUAAGGAUCGGCUAACUCCGUGCCAGCAGCCGCGGUAAUACGGAGGAUCCGAGCGUUAUCCGGAUUUAUUGGGUUUAAAGGGAAGCGUAGAUGGAUGUUUAAGUCAGUU
rnacentral:rRNA from 1 species